UAGGGGAUGUGCCAAGAGCUCACCAUUAUUUGGUCUGUGUCUAACACGGUUUGGGUGCAGGUGCUUCUGGGCUUUGUAAACACUGGGCCUCUGGGCUCUGCCCCAGAAGCCUCCAGCUUCCCAGAACCGGUGGCCCCAGUUCCUGUUCAGCAGCUGCUCUUUCUGUAAGGCCUUUGCAAGCCUCAGUGCUCCUUCUGAUGAGACACCAAAGGCCAGAAAAGGUGAGAACCUGCCAAAAGACACGGAGCAAACAUCAAGGCGGACCUGAGAAGAGAACUCGUCAAUACUGGAUUCUUGGGCUCUGAGGACAUGAUCCCUGCUCUGGACGUUGGAGAAUCUCUGAAGAAUUUUUGGCAGGCAUAAUCAGGUCUCUGCUUUACAAAUGUGGAUGAGCGCUUUUAGGAGCCCUCUGCAGGCAAGUUUAUGUCUCGAAGGGAAAUUGAUGGAUCCCAUGAUAAUCGUCUGUUUUGUUUUUUGAGGAGCUGCCAUACUGUUUUCCAUAGUAACUGCACCAUUUUACAUUCCCUCCAAGAAAGCAAAGUUUCCAGUUU
ensembl:lncRNA